GGGAUGUAGCUCAGAUGGUA
rnacentral:siRNA from 1 species